ACUCCUACGGGAGGCAGCAGUGGGGAAUAUUGGACAAUGGGCGCAAGCCUGAUCCAGCCAUGCCGCGUGAGUGAUGAAGGCCCUAGGGUUGUAAAGCUCUUUCACCGGUGAAGAUAAUGACGGUAACCGGAGAAGAAGCCCCGGCUAACUUCGUGCCAGCAGCCGCGGUAAUACGAAGGGGGCUAGCGUUGUUCGGAUUUACUGGGCGUAAAGCGCACGUAGGCGGACUAUUAAGUCAGGGGUGAAAUCCCGGGGCUCAACCCCGGAACUGCCUUUGAUACUGGUAGUCUUGAGUUCGAGAGAGGUGAGUGGAAUUCCGAGUGUAGAGGUGAAAUUCGUAGAUAUUCGGAGGAACACCAGUGGCGAAGGCGGCUCACUGGCUCGAUACUGACGCUGAGGUGCGAAAGCGUGGGGAGCAAACAGGAUUAGAAACCCCAGUAGUCCCAUGA
rnacentral:rRNA from 1 species